GGAAAAAAUUCACCCCGGAGGACUUAGAGAUUCCCAGUGAGAACAUUCUAAUCCAAUUCGGAAACAAUCAAAUCUGUAAAUGUCAAAACUGCAAAUGUGUGGGAAUAACUACAUUUUUUCUUACAUCCCUCUAAUGAAGUAUUUGAGGUUUUUCUUCUGCACUGUGAGGAAAGGCAGAAAGUGAAUGCUGACUGGCCCACGGUCUCUCUUGAGAAAAAUGCUUGAGUUAAAUUUUUGAUCUGCAACUUUCCUUCACUUUCUGUCUUAACACCCUUAAUUGCUACAACACACUGUGUCCUAUUAAAGAAAGGUGAGGCUUGCCAGAGACUGCGAGCGUGAAAGGUGGCAAUUCCUCAUGAAGCUGAAGCAGCAUGCUUGAAUGUUACAGUCCUGUUUUUCCUCUUCCUUAAUAACUCAAGACUGCAUUUUUCUCCCACCUCCAUUUCUUUCUUUCUACACCUCCCAGCCGCUACCACCUACACACUCCGAUCUGUUUCUCCCUUAAAAUCUUUCCACCGUGUGCAUAAUUGUUCCAAUUUUGACGGAAAUACAAUAAAAGUUUGGAACACAGCCAUUUGCAGUGCUUCAAGGCUGUUUUCCUAAACGUACUUCUAGGGAGUAAAUGCCUUUGAACACAGCUUUUACUAUUUGUGAUGUUAGGUGUAUAUGUGUUGGCAUCUGGUUUUUUUUUCUUAUUGUAUUACUCUUCCCCUUCUCCAAAGAAAGCCUUAGAGCAGGAUAGAGGAAAUGUCUCCUGUAGGUCCCGUACAUUCCCCAAGCCCACUUUUAUGGACCCAACACACUUCCCCUUUUUUUCCAGGCUGAGCUCUAGUGGACUUUCCACCUCUAAACCAUUCAAAAUACAAGAAAAGCAUUUACAAAUCCAGCAGGUUUAACCUUCUAUAAAGUCCCUUCUCAAAUGGCUUUUUGGAAGCUGAAAAUCAGGCCAAAAUUGAGAGCAGAAGUGAUGUGAUGUCACUUUUGAUGUGCUGCCAAAAUACCGGUGUAGCUGCCUUAGAAUAUGCCAGGGUUUUUUUUUUAGCUAAUUAAGAACAUUUUUUAGAAUCUUGAUAUGUAUCUCUUGGGUAUUUCAUUGGAUGCUCGCCAGUUUUUGUUCUCUUUUCCAUUUAUAAUAUAUCACACACACAUUAAUGUACUGGAUUUUGCCAGGGUCCCUCCAGCUAUUUCCCAAACCAUAUAAAUAUUAAAAACCUUUGUGUGUGUGUGUGUAUGAUGUGUGUGUGUGUGUGACAGAUGAUCCUCUUUAUCACCAAGAUGAGCUCAGGAUGUUUGUCCAUUUGACAUGAGGCUGAAAAUAUGCCACUUCUGUGGAAUUUGUUAACUUUCUGAAUGGGCAGUCAGGCCCGUGAUUGUCUGGAGUUAUCACCUUUUUUGUGUCUUGCACCCUUUGUCUCACAUGAAACUGGGUACUUGAAUUAAUCCAAAACUCAUCAGCAUAUCCACAUCACUAUUUCCUCCAGGUUCGUGCCCUCCCAAGGGGCAUCUCUGCAAUGGAUUGGUCCUUUAAACUGACCAAUUACCAGCUGUCUUUCUUUCUGCCACAGGAAUCUCCUCCUGCAGACUGUGACAUCAUAGGAACCCUGGCCAAUCCUGUCUUGGUCCUAGCCUGCCUCCCUUUUCAGCCAAUCAGGAGAGGGAGCGGUCCUGAAGAAAAAGAAGAUGAAGGAGGGGGAGGAGGAGGAAGAGGACCACUUUUCUGGGUUGUGAGGACGCCAACCUUUUACUGUGGCUCAGAGUAAGAAAUAUUUCAGAAAUGGACUAUUAGUGCCCAUUCCCUUUUUUGAGCAGAAAUGAACACAAUGAAGAUAAGACAGGCACGGGGGACAUUAAAAUGUCAAAACCGGUAUGUGUUUAUGCCAGAAUUGAAAAGCUGCCUCCAUUUCAUCAAAAUGCAAGUGUAAGUUGUUGUUUACAGAAAAAAGAAAUCACCCAGCCAUCCAUAUAUAUGAAAAGAAAAAUACCAACAAUGACAUUUAAGAAUAAUAAUUUUAGAACUAUGUUUUGAUAUCCUGGAUUGAUAUUCCAUAUAGAAGUCAGGGGUUGAACCACAGUUUUCCAGCUCAGUUGGAAUGGGAAAUUGGUUUAAGAACCCUUGAAACCUCCCAUUAUUAUAUUGUGACAGAGAAAGGAGGGGGGGGGACAUGGAGGGGGGAACAAUGUCCAAGCCAGACCUACAGAAUUUCUAAGAAGACAAUAUUCACAUUUAGAACCAAAGAACUAUCUAGAUAUGGGAAUUCUCAGCAGCCUUUUUCCUUCAUUUUUUCCCUGUUGAACUAUCCUGCCGCUGCUACAGCACCAAUUAAGUAAACUUGCUUUUUUAUACAUUAUAGGUAAGUCCCAUCAAAUUACAUCUCUUAUCUUCAUUGCCUGAAGGCUUAACACUUUCAUCAUGCAGGAUUUUUAAAGCAGUUUAUGAGUAAUCUUCUCAACUAAGGAGGUAUGUAGGUAGAUACUUCAAUUUUCACAGCUGUCAGUCACAUGAAAAUCUGUUUUCAUCCAACACUCUCAAAAGAGUUAUUCAAACAAUUCGGACCUGAUUCAACAGAGAACAAAAAUGGUAUAGAUAAUAUAUAAAACAUUGAAAUGAGAAAAUAAACACUUGCAAAAAAUG